rnacentral:tRNA from 1 species
AGCUCAGUGGCAGAGUUCAUGCUUAGCAUGCAUGAGGCCCUGGGUUCAAUCCCCAG